GUGCUUGUUACAAACGCAAAAUUUCAGGCCCCCAUCUCAGACCACUGGAAUCAGAAUCUCUGGGGGUGGGGCCCAGGAAUCUGCAUUUUUAAC
rnacentral:miRNA from 1 species